rnacentral:misc_RNA from 1 species
AUUAGCUUGAUUAUUCCCUCAAGCUACUGAGGAAUAUAUAUACUUAUUUCACAUACGCUAAGAAUGGAAGGAUAUAUAUUUACAUGACAUUUACAGGCACAUUUACAAUCACCAUUACGACACACAGUCGCUCCACACACAAUCUCAAUUUCAGGCACAAUUACAUCAAACAUUCUAACACUCCCUCUCAAGCUAAAGCAUACAUAUCAUAUACUCCUAGCUUGUUACAAACAUAAUCAAUAUGAGAAUCUUUAACAGAUUUAGUAAUGAUGUCUGCUAAUUGGUCGUUUAAAUUAAUGAAACUAGUAGUAAUAGAUCUUUACUCAAUUUUUAGUUUGAUAAAGUGGCAAUCCACCUCUA